ensembl:lncRNA
GUGGGGACCGGGACGGGCUGGGCUGGGCUGCGUCCGCGGGCCUGACUUCGGGCUCGGCCCGCGGUGCUCCCGGGACGGUCACCGCGAGCAGAGGCCCCGCGGCCUGGGGACCCGGCUGGCGCGGGCGCGGGUGGACCUCCCGGCCGGCAGGGGGCGUGAGGCGGGGAUGCUGGCCCCGAGGGGUCCACGGAUUUUGAGAACAUUAAAUUCGACUUCUUUUAUGCUUUUCAGUGACCCACGCUGGUAAAACUCAAACAGGGCAGAAGCAUUAAAAUAACCACCCUCGUCCCACAGCCUUGCCUCGCGAAGGAAUCCCGGCCUCCGGUUCGGGAGCAUCCUCCCAGGCCUCCUCCAGAACAUUCGCUCACACACGGAUACUCAGGCUCGCAGACGUAUACGGACGCACACGCAUAUGUACGCCGACACACGUGCACCCAGACUCACAGGAACACGCGGACACGUGGGAACACUGAUUACGUAAAGAGAUUAGCCCUGAGCUAACAUCUACCGCCAAUCCUCCUCUUUUUGCUGAGGAAGACUGGCCCUGAGCUAACACCCAUGCCCAUCUUCCUCUACUUUAUACGUGGGACGUCUGCCACAGCAUCGCUUGCCAAGCGGUAUGCAGGUCCACACUUGAGAUCCAAAUCGGCGAACCCCCGGCCACUGAAGCAGAACGUGCAAACUUAACCGCUGUGCCACUGGGCUGGCCCUAUGACCCAUUUGAGAGGAUGUCAUCAGCGCAGUGCCAUCCCCGUGCUCCUGGAGGACGGCGGCUGCAGUGAAGAUCCCAUCUGCAGAGAUGGCGUGUGAGGGCGUAGCUGUCGUGGUGCCCCACGGGCAGCCUGGCUGAGCUGUGUGUGUCCCUUCGGAGGUAAAGGCAAGCUUCAGCUGAGAACCUGUUGAAACAGGCACUAAAUGGAAUGUAUUCGCCAAAUCUAUAAGAGCAAAAUGUGUACUGGGGUGGAGGCUGGGUGGAGGUAGUGAUCGCAACAGCAUUGGAUGCUGGGCGUGGGGGUCUGAGUGGAUCGGACGACAGCAUUACUGUUGCAGUGGGUCCACCAGGAGGCGCCGUAGGGAUAACCACCGCUUUAUUAGUCGGGUUUCAUGUAAGUGUUACUCCCCGGAGGCCCUGUUUCACUUACAUUGGGCCAUAUUCUUUUUUUUUUUUUUUUUGAGGAGGAUUAGCCCUGGGCUGACUACUGCCAGUCCUCCUCUUUUUGCUGAGGAAGACUGGCCCUGAGCUAACAUCCAUGCCCAUCUUCCUCUACUUUAUAUGUGGGACGCCUACCACAGCAUGGUGUGCCAAGCGGUGCCAUGUCUGCACCUGGGAUCCCAACCAGUGAACCCCGGGCCACUGAGAAGCGGAACGUGCGAACUUAACCGCUGCACCACAGGGCCGGCCCCUUAUAUUAACUAUUUUAACUGGGGGUCCAGUUAAUCAAGCCAGUUUGUCAAUGCCAAAAACUUACUUUAAUUUUAAUUUAUUAUUCUUUGUGUUAGCGCAUCUUUGCCUGAUGUGGGAUAUUUUUGGACAAAGAGUACUAUGACUAUGGGAAAUUAGGCAAGGCUGUGGUUCGAGUGAGGUCUGUCUGUUUUCCCUCUGUUUUAUAUUUAGUGACUUCCCAAGGUGAUAGGGACUACGAUGUUUACGUCUAGUGGGAUCCCCAGCUGUGACUCUCCUUUGAGCCCCAGUGUUGAUUAAGGCCGUGAAGUUUGUCAAUGGGUGCAUCUUAGCAAAUAAUUUAGCACCUACGUGCACCCAAGCCAACUGGCACAUUUAAAAAUCUUUUUGUUAUAUAAAUUAUUUUUGUAUAUAGAUAAAUUCUGUUGUAUAUUUGUUAUGUAUGAUUAUUAUACAUAUAAUUUGUUAUGUUGAUUUUUAGCAUAUAAACUUUGGAUUUCCAAUUGGGUCAAAUUAUGGACCUUUGUUUUAAUAUAUGUAAAAUUUAUUUAUUGUAUAUUUUGUAGCUG